UCGUCACACUAUCAUUAACUGAAUCCAUAGGUUAAUGAGGCGAACCGGGGGAACUGAAACAUCUAAGUACCCCGAGGAAAAGAAAUCAACCGAGAUUCCCCCAGUAGCGGCGAGCGAACGGGGAGGAGCCCAGAGCCUGAAUCAGCAUGUGUGUUAGUGGAAGCGUCUGGAAAGGCGCGCGAUACAGGGUGACAGCCCCGUACACAAAAGCGCAUGUGCUGUGAGCUCGAUGAGUAGGGCGGGACACGUGAUAUCCUGUCUGAAUAUGGGGGGACCAUCCUCCAAGGCUAAAUACUCCUGACUGACCGAUAGUGAACCAGUACCGUGAGGGAAAGGCGAAAAGAACCCCGGCGAGGGGAGUGAAAAAGAACCUGAAACCGUGUACGUACAAGCAGUGGGAGCACCCUUCGGGGUGUGACUGCGUACCUUUUGUAUAAUGGGUCAGCGACUUAUAUUCUGUAGCAAGGUUAACCGUAUAGGGGAGCCGAAGGGAAACCGAGUCUUAACCGGGCGUUAAGUUGCAGGGUAUAGACCCGAAACCCGGUGAUCUAGCCAUGGGCAGGUUGAAGGUUGGGUAACACUAACUGGAGGACCGAACCGACUAAUGUUGAAAAAUUAGCGGAUGACCUGUGGCUGGGGGUGAAAGGCCAAUCAAACCGGGAGAUAGCUGGUUCUCCCCGAAAGCUAUUUAGGUAGCGCCUCGUGAAUUCAUCUCCGGGGGUAGAGCACUGUUUCGGCUAGGGGGCCAUCCCGGCUUACCAACCCGAUGCAAACUGCGAAUACCGGAGAAUGUUAUCACGGGAGACACACGGCGGGUGCUAACGUCCGUCGUGAAGAGGGAAACAACCCAGACCGCCAGCUAAGGUCCCAAAGUCAUGGUUAAGUGGGAAACGAUGUGGGAAGGCCCAGACAGCCAGGAUGUUGGCUUAGAAGCAGCCAUCAUUUAAAGAAAGCGUAAUAGCUCACUGGUCGAGUCGGCCUGCGCGGAAGAUGUAACGGGGCUAAACCAUGCACCGAAGCUGCGGCAGCGA
rnacentral:rRNA from 1 species